GAUGAACGCUGGCGGCGUGCCUAACACAUGCCAGUCGAACGGAGAUUACGGACGGAAGUUUUCGGAUGGAAGCCUGUAAUUCUUAGUGGCGGACGGGUGAGUAACGCGUGGGCAACCUGCCCUAUACAGGGGGAUAGCAGCUGGAAACGGCUGGUAAGACCGCAUAAGUCGGUUAAAUCGCAUGAUUUGAUCGGGAAAUGAGCAAUCAGGUAUAGGAUGGGCCCGCGUCCGAUUAGCCAGUUGGCAGGGUAAAAGCCUACCAAAGCGACGAUCGGUAGCCGGACUGAGAGGUCGGACGGCCACAUUGGGACUGAGACACGGCCCAAACUCCUACGGGAGGCAGCAGUGGGGGAUAUUGCACAAUGGAGGAAACUCUGAUGCAGCGACGCCGCGUGAGUGAAGAAGUAUUUCGGUAUGUAAAGCUCUAUCAGCAGGGAAGAUGAUGACGGUACCUGACGAAGAAGCCCCGGCUAACUACGUG
rnacentral:rRNA from 1 species